CCCAGACUCCUACGGGAGGCAGCAGUGGGGGAUAUUGCACAAUGGGGGAAACCCUGAUGCAGCGACGCCGCGUGAGUGAAGAAGUAUUUCGGUAUGUAAAGCUCUAUCAGCAGGGAAGAAAAAAGACGGUACCUGACUAAGAAGCCCCGGCUAACUACGUGCCAGCAGCCGCGGUAAUACGUAGGGGGCAAGCGUUAUCCGGAUUUACUGGGUGUAAAGGGAGCGUAGACGGCAAUACAAGUCGGAAGUGAAAUACCCGGGCUCAACCUGGGAACUGCUUUGGAAACUGUAUGGCUGGAGUGCUGGAGAGGUAAGCGGAAUUCCUAGUGUAGCGGUGAAAUGCGUAGAUAUUAGGAGGAACACCAGUGGCGAAGGCGGCUUACUGGACAGUAACUGACGUUGAGGCUCGAAAGCGUGGGGAGCAAACAGGAUUAGAUACCCCGGUAU
rnacentral:rRNA from 1 species